GACGAACGCUGGCGGCGUGCUUAACACAUGCAAGUCGUACGGUAAGGCCCUUUCGGGGGUACACGAGUGGCGAACGGGUGAGUAACACGUGAGUAACCUGCCCAUAACUUUGGGAUAACGCUAGGAAACUGGUGCUAAUACUGGAUAUGUGCUCCUGCUGCAUGGUGGGGGUUGGAAAGCUCCGGCGGUUGUGGAUGGACUCGCGGCCUAUCAGCUUGUUGGUGGGGUAGUGGCCUACCAAGGCGGCGACGGGUAGCCGGCCUGAGAGGGUGACCGGCCACAUUGGGACUGAGAUACGGCCCAGACUCCUACGGGAGGCAGCAGUGGGGAAUAUUGCACAAUGGGCGCAAGCCUGAUGCAGCAACGCCGCGUGCGGGAUGACGGCCUUCGGGUUGUAAACCGCUUUCAGCAGGGACGAAGCUUUUUGUGACGGUACCUGCAGAAGAAGCACCGGCUAACUACGUG
rnacentral:rRNA from 1 species